UACGAGGGGUGCAAGCGUUGCUCGGAAUUAUUGGGCGUAAAGGGUAGGUAGGUGGUCUCAUUUGUCUGGGGUGAAAUCCUUGAGCUUAACUCAAGAACUGCCCCAGAAACGGUGAGACUCGAGUACUGGAGAGGGUCGUGGAAUUCCCGGUGUAGCGGUGAAAUGCGUAGAGAUCGGGAGGAACACCAGAGGCGAAGGCGGCGACCUGGGACGGUACUGACGCUGAGGCGCGAAAGCGUGGGGAGCAAACAGG
rnacentral:rRNA from 1 species